GGACUUUUGGUAUAGCAUUGGAAAUGUAAAUGAGUUAAAUACCUAAUAAAAAAUGGAAAAAAAAAAAAAAAAAAAGAGACAGGUCUCCAUCAUGCAUACAUGAGGCUCUCCCGAGGCACUUCACAGUACAUCGUAAGAGGCUCCAUAUAGAAUACCUGUUUGCUAGUUGGAUGGAUGUGGCUGGCUCAUGACAGUUGUACUUGCUCUCUGAGGUUUACCACAAACGCGCAUCCACGGGACAAGUGAGCACAGCCUGUGUGACAGAAUUGUUGAGAGCACUUGGGCAAGAUUCUUACUCACAAUGGAGGCUCCAGGGAGGAUGAGUUUAGAAUCGGUACCUUGAUCUACCACAGCCUUCCUAUCAGAGCCCAUAGGUCUAUCAGUCAGAGGAGUCAGAGCCAAGGACAGGAGCCAUUGCUUGUCACCUUUUGCUUGGACUUAAAGCUCAUCCUACAGGGGACAAAGAAGAACUCAUUUGCAUGCAUAGUUUUUGGUUUUGUCAUUGUGAAUAGUCAGAUGGAGGCCAUAGCCAGGCAUAAACCUAAUCUGUCAACGGGGCCACUGGCACUGAAGCGGUAGAGAAAUGCAUGGUUCUCAGACUUUUAGACAUCUCUUCUAAAUGCUCAUCUUAUCUCAUAUUCCUUUUAAUAAUUCAUUUGUAAUUUUCCCGUAAAAAAAACAAGAACAACAAC
rnacentral:lncRNA from 1 species